UUAAGCUAAGAAGAGCGUAGGGAGAAUGCCUUGGCAUUAGGAGCCGAUGAAGGACGUGAUAAGCUGCGAUAAGCUGCGGGGAUCAGCAAGUAUGAAUUGAUCCGCAGAUUUCCGAAUGGAGCAAUCCGUAUGUGUAUGCACAUACAUCAUAUACUGAAUCAAAUAGGUAUAUGAGGGGAACCGCCUGAACUGAAACAUCUAAGUAGGGCGAGGAAGAGAAAUCAACCGAGAUUCUGUGAGUAGUGGCGAGCGAAAGCGGAAGAGGCUAAACCAUAGGUAGCAAUACUUAUGGGGUUUCGGACAGCAUUUAGCAUUGAUAAUUUCUAGUUGAAACGUGUGGGAAAACGUACCGAAGAGUGUGAGAGUCACGUAAGCGAAAGAGAGAAUCAGCGAGCUGUAUCCAAAGUACCGCGGGACACGUGAAACCCCGUGGGAAGAUGGGGGGACCAUCCUCCAAGCCUAAAUACUACCUAAUGACCGAUAGCGAAUAGUACUGUGAAGGAACGGUGAAAAGAACCCCGGGAGGGGAGUGAAAAAGAACCUGAAACCCUAUGCUUACAAGCACCGAGAGCACGUCAAAGUGUGAUCGGGUACCUUUUGUAGAAUGGUCCGGCGAGUUAUUGUAUGCGGCAAGGUUAAGUGCUUAAGGCACGGAGCCGAAGCGAGAGCAAGUCUGAACAGGGCGAGUAAGUCGUAUGCAAUAGACCCGAAACCGAGUGACCUAUCCAUGUCCAGGCUGAAGUGGAGGUAAAACUCCAUGGAGGGCCGAACACACGUCCGUUGAAAAGGCCGGUGAUGAGGUGUGGAUAGCGGAGAAAUUCCAAUCGAACUCGGAUAUAGCUGGUUCUCUCCGAAAUAGCUUUAGGGCUAGCCUCGUGAAAGAUUACUGGAGGUAAAGCACUGAAUGGGCUAGGGGUCGAAAGAUUACUGAACCCUAUCAAACUAAGAAUGCCAGAUAAUUGAUUCACGGGAGUCAGACAAUGUGAGAUAAGUCUCAUUGUCAAAAGGGAAACAGCCCAGACCCACAGCUAAGGUCCCUAAACAUUGUUAAGUGGAAAAGGAUGUGGGGUUGCAUAAACAACCAGGAUGUUGGCUUAGAAGCAGCCACUCAUUAAAAGAGUGCGUAAUAGCUCACUGGUCGAGUGACCCUGCGCCGAAAAUUCAACGGGGCUAAACAAUGUACCGAAGCUUGGGAUUCUAAAGUAAUUUAGAGUGGUAGGAGAGCGUCGAAUAAGGGGUGAAGUCAGAGCGGAAGCGCUGGUGGACUUUAUUCGAGUGAGAAUGCCGGAAUGAGUAGCGAGAAUUAUGUGAGAAUCAUAAUGGCCGAAAAUCUAAGGUUUCCUGAGGAAGGUUCGUCCGCUCAGGGUUAGUCGGGAGCUAAGGUCAGGCGGAAACGCGUAGCCGAUGCACAUACGGUAGAAAUUCCGUAACCUCCGAAGAUUUAAGCACAGGGACGCUUUUGAAGGGCUGAGCAGGGAGUUGGUUUCCUGUCGUAAGGGACGCGUAAGCGGAAGUCAGUUUGGAAAGAGACGAGAAAAGCUGUGUGUAUAUGGAAGGAGCCCGUACCGCAAACCGACACAGGUAGAUAGGAAGAAGAUUCUAAGGCCAGCGGGAGAAGGGUUGUUAAGGAACUCGGCAAGUUGACCCCGUAACUUCGGGAGAAGGGGUGCUUACGAAGGUAAGCCGCAGAGAAUAGGCCCAAGCGACUGUUUAGCAAAAACACAGCUCUAUGCUAAAUCGAAAGAUGACGUAUAUGGGGUGACACCUGCCCGGUGCUGGAAGGUUAAGAGGAGAUGUGAGAGCAUUGAAUUGAAGCCCCAGUAAACGGCGGCCGUAACUAUAACGGUCCUAAGGUAGCGAAAUUCCUUGUCAGGUAAGUUCUG
rnacentral:rRNA from 1 species